rnacentral:rRNA from 1 species
UACAGAGGGGGCAAGCGUUGUUCGGAAUUACUGGGCGUAAAGGGCGCGUAGGCGGCCUGCUAAGUCGAACGUGAAAUCCCCGGGCUCAACCCGGGAACUGCGUCCGAUACUGGCAGGCUUGAAUCCGGGAGAGGGAUGCGGAAUUCCAGGUGUAGUGGUGAAAUGCGUAGAUAUCUGAAGGAACACCAGUGGCGAAGGCGGCUUUCUGGCCUAUUCUUGACGCUGAGGCGCGAAAGCUAGGGGAGCGAACGGG